rnacentral:lncRNA from 1 species
UUUACCUUUGAACAUGAGUUCCAUGACAACUUAUGAUUUUCGUUCUUUUUUCUUCUCAUUUCUCGAAGAAAAACUUUGUUAUUGAAAUACUUCAUUAAUCAGAGAAAGUCCUUAUUCAUGGCAUAUCAAACAUUUUGAAGAUGAAUUCUGGAAAAACAGUUUUCAUCACUAAUAUAUGUAUAUAUGGCGAUGAGGAUGUUAGGUUGUCCUUCAAUCAAAACGCUGGUAAAAUUUCUAAUACUGCAGUUUGAGACUUUGAACAUAUUGUUGCUUUAUAAUUUGCGUUUCUAUUUUCGUCAGCACUCAUUAUAAUUGUAGAUUUUAUAAGUCUUUAUCUUGUCCCUUAUAAAUUUUUGAGUAAUACAUGAUUUACCUUUUUAACUUGCACAAAUUUUGUUUACAUAUUUUUUCUUUACAGAUAUUCUUUUACAUAUCUUAUCUUGCAACUUUCGUAGCUAAGACUCUUUUGAAUAUCUUGUAUCACUUUCUAUUGAGAGGUGUAUGACACACGCUAUUGAUAGAGUGAUAGAUGUAUAAGGAAUAUUUUUUCUUCUUUUUCUUUCACAUUGGCAAAAUCAUAAAUUGGCAAAAAAUUACAUAUCGCCGAAAAAACCAUCAGGACAUUCUUCAACAUUCAACCCAAAAAAAUAAUAUUUUUUUUUCCGUUCUCGCUUUUUUAUUUUUCUUCUUUCUCUUUCUAAAAGGGAAACUAACACAACUCUUUCAUAGUUCUUCCUUAAAAUCUUGACAUUGAAACACUAAGAUAAAAUUUAUUUGGGAAUCAAAUAUAGGCGUUCAUAGUUACUUUAUGGAUUUCCUUUCUUGUUCUUAUGACUUUACUAACUUACAAAGUGCACUGUUACAGUUAUGAAGUCGAGGUUACCUAAUUAGUUCUAUUCAUUUUUGUGUUGAAUUUUGAAACUAUCUCAUCAUUCGUAAUAAGUUGGGUUUUUUUUUUAAUUUGGGAUAGAUCCAAAAAGUAAGAAUUUCUUUUUUCCUUAUAAUAAUUAUUUUCCCCAUUUGUAUUUUUUUGUUGAUGACUGCCAAUCUUAAAUCUGUAUUUUGAAAUAUUUUUCUGAUUUAACUAGUACUAUAAUAAGAAACAAGGGAUGGUAUUUCAAUGGGCCGAGGACUCAUAUGGGUGAUUGAUUCAGUAGUAAUUAGGUCGAAAUGGCAUGGGCUGGCCUUUUAUAUCUUGCUAUUUAAAGUUUAGUAAAUUUUUAAAAUCUCGUUCAAAAAUAACUAGCAUAUUGCCAAUGUAAACUUCAGAAUCCUUUUUUUUUUCAGGUUAAAACUUGCAUCAACACCGUCAUUUGCACGAAAACGAGGACAUUGGAGCUUACCUUUAACUCAAAAAUCCACUUCACGAGAAAAUUUGUGAAAUACUUGUGGCAAUUUGUAUUGAAGAAAAAACUUCAAAGAGAUAAAGUGAGAAAAGUAUUAGAAAAUGGAGAGAUUAAUAUCGGUGAUGAUGAUGAAACUGGCAAUAUUACUGUUAGCUAGCCAUGAACAAUCUGGAGAGAAGAAUGAAGAUACCCAAUAAUGAGAGCAAUCAUGAAGUUGAAAAUAAUAAUGUAUCAAAUAAAAAAUACAAACCAAGAAGAAGGGGACUUCAAAAAAGAUCCUAGGCGAGAGGGUUGCACAUAAUGGACUUUGGAACUUCAUGUCAAAUUCAGGAAAGUUGUGUGUCAACUUAAUUGGUGAAGGAAGUGAAUCAAGAGAGUGCAAACUUCAUGCCUCGAGGUAUGAAGUUUGAAUUGUCAUAGCCAAAUUUUACACACGUCGUCUGAAGUAUGAAUUUUCAUAGCCAAACUUUAGAAGUUCGAACUACAACAAUUCUACUUCAAACCUUGGAUCUGAGCUUGAAAUUAAAACAAUCCUCGAUUUAGAUACGAUAGUGUAUAUUUUUAUUCUCUCCAUUAUUUCUUUCUGUC